AGCGAACGCUGGCGGCAGGCCUAACACAUGCAAGUCGAACGAACCUUUCGGGGUUAGUGGCGGACGGGUGAGUAACACGUGGGAACGUGCCUUUAGGUUCGGAAUAACUCAUGGAAACUUGUGCUAAUACCGAAUGUGCCCUUCGGGGGAAAGAUUUAUCGCCUUUAGAGCGGCCCGCGUCUGUUUAGCUAGUUGGUUGAGGUAAUGGCUCACCAAGGCGACGAUCAGUAGCUGGUCUGAGAGGAUGAUCAGCCACAUUGGUACUGAGACACGGCCCAAAAUCCUACGGGAGGCAGCAGUGGGGAAUCUUGCGCAAUGGGCGAAAGCCUGACGCAGCCAUGCCGCGUGAAUGAUGAAGGUCUUAGGAUUGUAAAAUUCUUUAACCGGGGACGAUAAUGACGGUACCCGGAGAAGAAGCCCCGGCUAACUUCGUG
rnacentral:rRNA from 1 species